GGGUGGAGCAGCUUGGUAGCUCGUCGGGCUCAUAACCCGAAGGUCGUCGGUUCAAAUCCGGCCCCCGCAACCA
rnacentral:tRNA from 1 species